GAUGAACGCUGGCGGCGUGCCUAAUACAUGCAAGUCGAGCGAACAGACGAGGAGCUUGCUCCUCUGACGUUAGCGGCGGACGGGUGAGUAACACGUGGAUAACCUACCUAUAAGACUGGGAUAACUUCGGGAAACCGGAGCUAAUACCGGAUAAUAUAUUGAACCGCAUGGUUCAAUAGUGAAAGACGGUUUUGCUGUCACUUAUAGAUGGAUCCGCGCCGCAUUAGCUAGUUGGUAAGGUAACGGCUUACCAAGGCAACGAUGCGUAGCCGACCUGAGAGGGUGAUCGGCCACACUGGAACUGAGACACGGUCCAGACUCCUAAGGGAGGCAGCAGUAGGGAAUCUUCCGCAAUGGGCGAAAGCCUGACGGAGCAACGCCGCGUGAGUGAUGAAGGUAUUCGGAUCGUAAAACUCUGUUAUUAGGGAAGAACAAAUGUGUAAGUAACUAUGCACGUCUUGACGGUACCUAAUCAGAAAGCCACGGCUAACUACGUG
rnacentral:rRNA from 1 species